rnacentral:rRNA from 1 species
UGAGGAAUAUUGGUCAAUGGACGCAAGUCUGAACCAGCCAUGCCGCGUGCAGGAUGAAGGCCUUCUGGGUUGUAAACUGCUUUUAUCAGGGAAGAAACCACAGAUUUCUAUUUGUGCCGACGGUACCUGAGGAAUAAGCACCGGCUAACUCCGUGCCAGCAGCCGCGGUAAUACGGAGGGUGCAAGCGUUAUCCGGAUUCACUGGGUUUAAAGGGUGUGUAGGCGGGCUUGUAAGUCCGAGGUGAAAUCUCCGAGCUCAACUUGGAAACUGCCUUGGAUACUAUAGGUCUUGAAUAUCGUUGAGGUAGGCGGAAUAUGUCAUGUAGCGGUGAAAUGCUUAGAUAUGACAUAGAACACCGAUUGCGAAGGCAGCUUGCUAAACGAUUAUUGACGCUGAGGC